UUGAUAGUGAAGCUGAUAAAAUGGAAAUGCAUGUAUGAAAGGCUAGGGAGGGGGACCCUUGAGAAGGUUCAAGUUGCAUACCAGUCCAUCUUGUGUGCUUGAAUUAUUGACCUUUAUAUGUCGUAUUAGAACAGCCAUAUGGCCCAAGUGUGCUUAACAUGAUCAGUACAUGAACUAUUAUUGAUCACUAUACUAUCAGAAAGUCGUUCCCCUUAUCUCUAUAUAUAACAAGCUUAUUAUAUAUCAAUCUAUACAUUAUAUAUAUAUAUACAUAUAGUCCAUAUAUAUACAUUAAUAGAUCGUGCUAACUUGCAGUUCUUGAUUUUGUUUUAUAAUCAUCAAGACUAACGGGAGAAGAGAGAGAGUACAGCUUCGAUCAUAUAUACACAUCAAAAUCAAGGGCUGAUCUGCAUAAACAUAUACAUACAUAUAUAUUAUAUAAAUAACUUCAGUUUCCCUUGACGCAUUUGAUUAAGCUGUACCCUCUCUCUUCUCCUUCUUAUCUUUGAUGAACAUGUACAUCUGCAAGAUCUCUCUCAUCCCAUUAUUAGAAUCUUCAAUUCGUGUGCCGGUCAACCUGAGUGGAACAGCUGCUCGGUGAAUUACAGGCUCCUAAAUUACAUCAAUCGUAACAUAGGUAAGCGACACGCUAAAUCACUUUUCGGGGACUUAAACUUGAAACUAAAAGUUUCCCUAUCGAUGAAUAACAUGGCAAUACCCUAAAUAAACACAAUGGGAAAAACUAGGGUUCCCAAAAUUGCCCCCAACCGGAAUUCCGGUUCUGGAAAAAUUCCUAGGAGCCAACCGGAAUUCCAGUUCAGUGCAGGAAUGACCGAAAAUUCUAUAACUCAACCAAAACAACCCCAAUCCACAUGAAACCUUCCACACCUGUUCUAAGCAUCCUAAAGAUAAAUUUCAAAGUAACAAAACACAACUUCAUGUACAAAUACAAAAACCACCAUUGAUGAGCCAAGCUUGAGUUCAAAAACUCAAAGCUUGCUCAUCCUACUAACUAGCUAUCAAAACCUACUCAAAUCACCUUAAAUAAACAUACUUUAACUACUGAAAACAUAAUUAAACUCCAGCAACAAGAACAGUAACCAAAAACCCAAAAACAUGCAUUAAUCUUUUUCUUCAAAAAUAAGAAACUAAAGAGGGAACUACAAGAGGCAUACCUAGAGUUCAAGAUCCCUUAAAAUCUGCUGGAACCAAUAAGAAAAUGGAGAAACACACAGCAACGCCAGCUGGUUUUGAGGGUUUCGAAAGAGAGAGAGAACUUGAGAGUGAAAUGUAAUCUUUUAGAAAUUUCUUAUUUUCUUAUAAGAUGAAUAAAUUAAUCUUUAUUAUCAUACUAAUAUCAGCUUAUAACUCAUAAAAGAAAACCAAUUAAUUAAUAAAACUAAGUCCACUAAAAAGACAAACUACUAAUGGCAAAAAGACUAUUUUGCCCUUCCCCUACCAAAACCACUUAAAAGGCACUAAGAGUAUUUUGGGAAAUUCUAAAUUCCCGACUAAUCUCGACAUUCACAAUGUCUAAAUACAUCGCCCUGCUAAACUAAAAUACUAAGAUGUGAUUCUACUAAGCCAUACACCGCGUUCCAAUGUUGUCGGGCACUAAACAUGCAAAAUUAUAAAAUUUCUCUAUAUGACAUAUAAUAUGCAUUCUGAAUUCAAAUAAAUCAUCAUAAAUUAUUAAUUUAGAAUUAAUAACUAAUUUUCAUAAUUAAACCCUAAUUAUCUGCUAAUUUCCAAAUUUAAGCUAAGCGGUCUUUACAUCCCAUAACUUCCAAAUCACUCACUUAAUCUCAUUUACAUCUAAUUAAGAGAUGGUAAUAGUCAUGGGGUACUGUAGGGUGUUGAAUUUCAAAGUGUGAGAUCUUAAAUACUAUAAAUAGAGAUCUUGGUUCAUCCUUUGAAAAAUACUCUUCUCUUCUAUCUUUCAAACACAAAACUAGAGAGUUGUAAGGCGUUAAUUCUCAAAAGUAUUUCUACAAAGUCUUAAGUGUUUUAUAGAGAGGGAAAUAAUUUUCUUAGACAAAGAGGUAAAAACCUUGUUCAAGCUUUUAUUGAUCUCCAUCUCCAAUUCAAGUGUUUGUUCUUCUAUCUCUUUUUAUUUUGUUCUAUUCUCUAGUUUUAUUCUCUUCUUCUCCUCUAGACACAUAUAUUUAUAUUAUAUCUCUACUAUAUAAAAUUAUAUAUAUACUAUAUGCACUUUUUACAUAUACUAUACAUUUUUGUUAAACUAAAAUUAAAAAUAAUAAAACUGAAAUGAAUUACCUAUAGAAAAUUCUGGCUGAGUCGCAGACAAUGUCGCUUUCUUUAAGACGUUUCGCGGCUCUGUUCGAAGUGUGUACGACAGUCUAGCAAUCACGGCGUCUCCAGGAUAAAACAGUCUCUACAUACGUACGAUAUGUUCUGCACCGAACUAUAUCGCUCUAUUACACCCUAAAUUUUGCUUUAAGAAAAAUCGUAGGGUUUGAUGUUGAAAAGGAUGUGGUCUUUCGUUGUUUUAUAUAUAGGGAACUCGAUCCAAGAAUAAAUGGUAAGAAAAUAAUAAUAUUAUCGUGGAGGAGGAGUUGGAUCGUGGCAGUAAAAAGUGGAUUAUUGACUGAUUGCAUUUUACUAUAACAUUAAAAUUAAUUAAUAAAUAAGUAAAAAAUAAAUCUUUAUUUAAUUAAAUAGUUUUUCUUUAAAAAAUUAAGUGACACCUCACCGGCCCGACGAAUGGCGGCAGCGCGUGUGUGAGUCCUCACUCAUGCGCGCAAAACUGGGUACCCAUUGAGGCCCAUACCCAAUUCUCAAACAUGCACUAUUUAUACACUUCUAAUGAAGUGUUCCUAUCCCAUGUGGGACUCCAAUCAUUCACACACUUCACUUUUUAAUUUUUAAAUAAUUUCACAAAAAUUCCAACAAUUUCUAUUAUAUAUCAUUUAUAUAAUAUAUAUUUCAUAUUAUAUAUAUAUACAGACUAGUUAUUAUUAUAUAUAAACUUUUAUAUUAUUUUAUAUUUAUUUGUAUUUUUGAAUUUUGAGUUAUAAUUUUUUUUUAUUAUUUGUAUUUUAUACUUUAGGAUUGUAACUCUUUAUUUAAUUUAAUUCUUAUAAUGUUUGGUUUGGAGUUGUAAUUAUUUUUGUCUUUUGUUCAUCAUAUUUUAAUGUCUCAUAUAUUUCUAACAAGUCAUGCUAGUAUUAUUUUAAGUUAAUUAGCAUAUAUACCAAAUGACCAAUUCUUAUAUACCAUAGGGUGAUUCUACAAUAUACACCCUAAAAAUAGAUGUACUGAUACAACCUUGACUUACUUCAGCAUCUAGAAAAAAAAAAUUAGUCUAAUUUUUUUUCAUAUUCAUGCGUUAUAGCUAUUUAAGAUAACCUACUAAAUUUUGAGAAAUUCCGAAUAAUUUAUAAUAUAGAAAACAAUGUUCAAACAGUCUAUUUUACACCCGUAUAAAAUAAAAUAGUCACGCGUGCAAUACACUGUUUGAACGUAAUUUUCGGCGUGUUAAAUUUUUCCAAAUUAAUUUCUUAAAAUUUUGCAAGAUAUCUUAAAUAACUAAAACGUACAUGACCAUGAGAAAACAUUUGACUAAAAAAUUAUUUCGAGUGUUAAAACAGAUGAGGGUGCAUCAAUAUAUACAUUUUAAGGGGAUGCAUGGUAGAAUUUUCCUAUACUAUAUACAUGUGUUUAUUAUUUAAUUUUCGUUUUGGGUAACUUACAGAUCGCGAACUCUAUAAAUAUAGGUUUAUAUAUAUGUUAAUUUUUCCGGUAAAUUAAAGAAUAUGUAUCAUAUAAACUAAUAGAGAGAUAGAUAAAUGAUUCUAUAUCAGACCAAAAUAUUGUACAUUUUUCAAAUAAACUGGUAUAAUUAAUUUCAAAACCUUAACUGCGCUGAUCAAUCUUUGUAUUAAGCGGUUGAUUUCAUUUUAAGUUAACCUAUAGCAAUUAUUUCAAGUUAUACGUACAUUUUGUUUUAUAACCUUAUACAUGGAGAAUUUACCUUGUCUCUGUAAUUAAUAAUAUGUAUAUAUAUAUAUAUAUAUAUAUUUUAUUUUUAAAAUUCUUCCAUUCUAACUUGGUUUGUAAAGAAAGAAACCGUUCAUGUACGUACAUGCACAUCUGAGCAUGCUGGUGUUCGAUGGUAAAUGGGUUCUCAUUACAUGGUUAUAACAAACAGUUCACAGAUUUUGGGAUUUCAGAUAUCUUUGAUUAAUAUUUACUAAUAUGCAUUCAUGAGUUGUGUGUGUAUAAUUUAGUAAUGGUAGAAACCUUUUGUUGGAAAUUUGGUAAGAUAUGAAGAGAAGAGAGUGGAGAGCAGUCUUUUUAUUAGUACUGAAAACAUGAGCAGUAUAUAUGCCUGGCCUAGCUAGUUAAGGCGGUCGGGACAUAUUACUUGUAUCUAUGUGUAGGUACAACACCUAACAUGGUUGAUGGUACGAUUCGUUAUAACAUGAGAUACUUAUACCAAUUUUAUACAUCAUGAAUUCAUGAGUAAUAUUAUUUUCCAUGCUCACUCUUUGUUAUUAAUUCUAAGUGCAUAAUAUGCGCAUGAUAUAGUAUUGUAAUUAUUUAUAUAUAAUCCUCUAAAAUUAGAUAAUUUACUGUCAUCAAAAUAAGAUUUAAAUAAGUUGUUUUACACAUGUCUAAAAUGAAACAAACAUCGUUCACCAAACUGUUUGUAUCAAUAUUAUUUUCAACAUAAUCAAUCAUUUAGAAAUAUGGAAGAGUUUAUUAUAAUAUAAAUUUUAAUAAAAAAAUAGACACUACUACAAAAACCUCCUUUAGAGGCGGUUUUUAAGCUCUUUCAGCGGCGGUUCUGGCGAAAUUCUCUACUGACGCUGAUCAGGGCGACGAUAAAGGAUUUUUAAAAACUGACGCCAUAUAUACCCCUAUGGUGUCGGUUCCUAUCUAAUAACCGACGCCAUAAAUAGCGUAGGAACUGACGCAAAACAUGAACAGUUUUCAGUUUUUUUAAUUUUAUAUAAUUUAUUUUAAUUAUAUAUUUAUUAAUUUAUAUGUUAUUUUAUUUAAUUUAAAUUACCUAUUUAUUUUUUAAAAGGUAAAUUAAAUAUUAUUUAAAUUAAUUUUAAAAUUGGCUAAAAUACAUAAUUUUAUCUUAUAAAAGUAAUUAAAUAUUACAUAAAUAUUAAUGUAAAAUUAGUCCAAAAUAUUAAUAAGUUAAUAAAUCUAACUACAAGUCAAUCUAAAAAAAUUACAUAAGGAAGAAAAAUUCUUGGGCCUUUCAACCUCAAUUGUCAUCGUGAAUCACCGCCAUCAAUCGUUCUAUCCACUGUCGCUGUAAUGGUAACAAUUCAGUUUUUGGAUCGUAUUGCCCCAUACCCCAAACUGUUAAAAAAAUUAAAAAUUUAUAUUAGUUGAUGUAUAUAUAUAUGUAUAUUAUAUAUUUGUUAUUAUAAUAAAAACUAUAAUCAAUAAUUAAAACUUACAGCUUUUUGAUCUUGUAUGUAACGGUUGGGGUUUGCACGUGCGACGAUGUUAGUCAUGUAUUUCAAAACAUAAAAACCACAUUCUUGGCUUUUAGGUUGUCUUGGAGAAUUUGCUAGUAAAAUUCCUUGCCACAGGCCAAGAUACUCAUGUACAUCCCCUAUAUAUCUGAAUGCACUGUUUUGAAAAAUUAUAUUAGCAUUUCAAUUCAUUAGUUAAUUUAAAUUUGUUACAUAAGAAGUCAUUAAAUUAUUACCUUCCAAUCAUUUGAGUAGUUUCUUCGGGAAUUGGGCAGCCACGUACAGGGUCUAAAUGGAUAAUUUUCUUUGGCGUAACCACCUCUAGCGUCCACUGUGCACUAGAAAAUUAUUUUGGAAUAUAAGUAAGAUAGUAUAAAAAUAAUUUGAAGUCAUAAUAUAGAAAUGAACAAUUAGUACUAAAGAAUUAAAUAGAGUUUACCCGAUAUUCCAAGGAAUAAAGAACAUUUGGUGAUUGUUAUUCAUCAGUGAUAACCAAUCAGCCAAUCGUCUUGCCGCAUUGUCAAAAGACUGACUCUUCUCUUCAUCGGUUUUCCCAUUCACUACGAGAAGCUCUGGGUCGUAAAACUUGAAAAAAAUUCUCAUACCGUUGAUGCUCUCUCAGAUGUGCCUGGCAAAAAAAUUGUUAAGUAUUAGUGUCUUAUAAUAAUUUGACUAGAAUUUGAUAUAUAAGGUUAAUUAGAUUAAAGAAGAGUAUACAUCAUUCCAAAUAGCAUUCCCUGGUUGCCGAUGAAGUCACACGUAGAAACCUGCUGCAAAUCCUCUCCAGAUAACGUGAUCUGGGUACGCAGUGCUAUGAAUCCUCGGGGUACAGGAAUUGUGAUUAUAUCACAUUUAUCUUUGAGGUUCAGGAAUUCAAGAACCAUCUAUUUUAGCGAUGUAGGGAUCAAGUCCAUCUUUUUUUUCGAGAACAAUUCAUCUUCCCGUGCACCACCGCCUUGUGGAGAAAGCAUCAGAGGUUUUCCCUUCGACGGAUCACGUCUUGAAGGCGGUUGAGCGAGUGGACCCUAAACAAAAUAGAACAUAAUAUAUCAAAUUUUAUCCAAAUUCUACCGAAAUUUCGGCAGCAUAACGGCUGUAAUUGAAUGCCUCCAAAAUUUUUAAACAUGCUUGUAUAACGACAAAUAACACAGAUAUAACAGUAGUUUGUUCAUCCAUCCCAUGACAGCACAUAUAUUCGCAGAACCUACUUCACUAUGGUUGAAUGUUGAAGAUAUUCAAACUCCACUAAUCAUUAAUAAUUAAUUUAUAAGAGAAGUUACCUCAGAUGUUAGAAUUAAGUGUUUAGGCCAAGGAAGGAACAUCAGUGGUACGUCCCUAACAUAUCUGCACCCUUCAAUUGGGAUUGAGAUUUCAGCGUCCUCUUGCAGCAUUUUCGAAACCAGAAUCCGGGCAUGUGAAUCAUCGUAGUCCUUGCAGUGAACAGGGAUUUUACCAACAUGCUCGUACUGUUGGAAAUAUUUUACCAGGAUCUAAAUUUACUAACAAGUAUGUUUCAUUAACAUCCUAAUAUGAAUUCUAAAACAAUGAAAUAAACACAUAUAAAGUUUAGGAAACCUUACAUUGGGUGCAGCGGAAUAUAAUGACUCCUUCUAUUCAGAUCUCUAGCCCUUGAUACCUUUCUGUAGCAGAGCAUCACCAAGAUCUGAACCUGGAUCUCUUUCUCUCCUUCCUUGAUGCUGAUUCUCCUUCUUGUUGAUUGGAUUCUUCACAAUCUUCCACACUAUGAUUGAGAUACCACUUGAUGUGUGUGGGCACUCACUCAUUCACUAAUGGCUGAAAAAUAUUUAUGAAGAUAGGCUAUAGUGUUUUCGAAAUUGAAGAGAAAGAAGAAGGAAGAGGUCUUAUCAAAAGCUAGGUUAUUAGCUUUGGAGGCAUUAGUUGGAUGAAGAGACCAUAGCCUUCCUUUUAUACUAUUCUUCAAUAGGGUUAGGGUUGAAUUAUAUGGAUUAAAAAAGAAUAAAAUAUUAGGCAAAAAUACAUCUUGGCCGUACACAAUAAGUGGACCAAUUUCUAGUUACAAUUUUACCACUUUAUUUCAACCACUUAUUCUUCUUUUCAAUAAUACCAUAUUUUUCAAUUCAAACCUAUAAAUGCCAAAACUAUUUAUUUAAUAAUUAAAAUAAUUAUCAAAUAAAAUUGUCAUUUAUGAUAUUUAUUAAUUAGACUCCAUAGAGUCUCUUAAUUAACAAACAAACCCCAAAACACUAUUUCUUCACAAUCAAGCCAUAACAUAGUGAAAAUUCAUAAACUAGACAUAGUCUAAUUUUAGAAUUAUAAUUGAUUAAUUAAAAUCAAUUAACUGAGUCUUACAAGCAGUAUGGUCUCAACUAGUAUGGGGACCAUGGGCCUAUAUAACCGAGCUUCCAAUAAGCCGAACCGAAUUUACCAAGUAAAUUCCCUAACUUAUUAAUUCCUUGUUGAAUCCACUCUUAGAACUUGGAAUUGCACUCUCAGUCAUAUAGAACGCUCUAUAUGUUCCACGAUAUAGAUACGCUAUAAAUUAUCCAUUGUUAUAAUGCUAAUUUGAUCAAUGAUCCUCUAAUACAUGAUCUACAUAAUAUAGGGAUUAAAUUACCGUUACACCCUUCAAUGUAUUUUAUCCUUAAAACACUUAGCUCCGUAUAAAUGAUAUUUCAGCGAAGUGAAAUGAGUACUCAACCAUUUAUCUCUGUUUAGCCAAGCUCGAAGGAGAUCAUCGUUUCACUUCUAAAUACCUAUAGAAGUUAUAGAUUCCUUAUCUAUGUUUAGCGCUCCCACUCAAUUAUACUAUCAUGUUCCCAAAAUGUACGUAUCACCCUGACUCAAAAGUAGGCUUAACUAACAAAUCAAAGAACAUGUAUGAUACUCUUGAGAUCGAACCUAAUCAUAUCAGGAUUAAGAUCAUUUGAUCUAGGAUCAACUAGGUGAUAUUGAAUUGAAUAGAUAUUACGAUAAAUUUUAACAUAUCUAAUCAAAGUUCAAUAUCGGUCCCUUCCGAUGUAUACUCCAUACAUCCGAUACUGGUAAACUUUACAAAUGCCCUGGAAAGGACAUAACACUUAUCCAAGGUGUAAGAAUACCUAUCGCUGAUUGUCAUGUCAGUCUAAAUCCAGUGAACUGACAAAUCAGGGAAUUAAAACUUUCGAACAUAUAAACAUGAUUAUAUUCCACUGUGCUGACAACACUAUAAUCAUUAACAAAUAAAUAUGUUCUGGACUUAAUAGAAUUUAUACAUUAAACAAUAAUCAUGAAAUAAAUCAUGUGAACCAUGCAACAUAAAAUGUUGUUUCUGAUCUUUAUAAAUUAGUAAAUCAGAAUAUAUUGAAAUGGGUUUUAUUUGGGGCAUAAAUCCCAACAAACUCCCACUUGCACUAAUAUAAAACAAAAAGUGCAUUUCAAAUAAUCUCAACACCUUGAUAUACAAAUCAAGUGUAGUGUGCAGUAUACUCUUCGUAAUAGGAUCUGACAGAUUGAAUUAAACACAACCUUUACUCCACCAUUACAUUUCCUUAAUCACAAAAUCCUUGAUAUUGUGAAAUUCCUCUCUAUAUGUCUACUCUCUUGGGAUACUGGAUUCUAUACUUUUGGCAACUACUUUUUGGUUAAUCAGGAAGUAACACUAGUAGUUAAGAAAUGUUGGAACAGUGCCAAAAAUGUAUAGAACUUUCCUUAGACUGAAUAAGUACCUUUCCUGCAACUUUAACAUUCAAUCUCUCUCUGGCAGACUUAGAGACUUCAGAUAGGUUUUUACACUUCUCCAAAAUCACUACUCCACCCCCAGAGUAAUCACCAUCUCAUCAGCAGACUUUCUAGCACUAAGGCAAGUCUAGAAAUCUGAUUUGGUGUAGUCUAAGAGUAUUAAAUACACCCUUAUCGACUAACAUACAGUUCCUCUUCUUGAUCUUAAGAUUUACUUGAUUGUCUUCCAAUGUUCCUUUCCUGAAUUAAUCUGAUAUCUACUCAUUACUCCCACUCAACAGCAGGUGUCUGGUCUAAGGCAUACUAAAGCAUAUCUGAGACAUCUCACUGUUGAUUGAAGGAAUUCUUUCAUGGCUUUAUCUUUUCUGGAAUAGUUGAGACUUUUCCUUAGAUAAAUAAAAUCUAUGUCUAGAAGUCGAGAAGCUUCUAUAGAUUGCCAUUAGAAAAGAAAAUGCUUCAGCAUCUUACUAAAGUAAGUUGCUUGCAUUAGAGUAAGUAAUUACCAGGUAUACCACAAGCCAUAGGUUUAGAUAAACUUAAACCUAUAAUAUUAGGAACAGGAAGUUUUGUUAAGUCCAUUGAAUAGACUUAUUAACGAAAAUUUCCUUUCAUGUUCUUCUAAUAGAAAACUUUAGGUUGUUCCAUAUGAAUGGUUUUAACCAUAGUUCUCUUGGCUUUGCUUCUUAGUUUCUUAUCUUGACAAUCCAUUACUUGUUUAAACUCACAAUGGAUUUUAAUCACUAGUGUCUUCCAAGUCAUAAUAGGGUGAGUUCCUUGAAACUCUCCCACUACGACAAGGUACCGUGAAUUAUGUCUAAGAAAACUAAAUGGUAUUGACCUCUUCGGUUGUGUCAAGACAACAGAGGCAGUGGGACCAUCUUAUAAGAAUAAGAUGAUAGAACACUUAUGGAAUCAAGAAAAUUAUCUCCUUUACUUUGCUACUUUGUUUUCAGACUUAGUCAUUUUCUUAGAAAAGUAGUAUUUGUUUAAACAAACACUUUCUUAUCUAAUGACUAUGAGAUGGUCCACCCCUAAUCACUUGGAAUAGCUAACAAACAUGCAAACCUUGGUUUACAGUUCUAGCUUUUCUUAAGAUUACGAUUAGGUCAUCCAUGAAUCUAGUAAUGGUUUACACUAAGUACCCAACUAUUUCAUCAUUCUGAAAUUUUCCUAUCACUAGGGUAUAUCCCUAGAAGCACUUAGGCAAUAACUAGUAACUAAUCAUCAAUAUGCAAAUCGAAUUUCUAGGGAGGUAAGUUUGGAUAUAAUUCAAAAAUCAACUUAAUGAUCUUAGAACUGCACAUCUACCAAAUAUUUCUCCACCUCUAUUGUUAGGUUAUAUUUAGCCUAUGUUUCGGGUUUGAAAAGUAAGCAUUUUCUCGUCUAUUGGUGUCUUUUGGAGCGGUUUUACGCUUGAUUUUCAUUGUUUCAAGUUCCCGGGGUGUUAAAGUUCAAAUUCAGUCAAUUGGUGAAAAGACGGGAUAAACUGGCAAAAAAACGGAAAAAUCUGCUCUUUGGGUGUCAGUAGUCGCGACCAUGGAUCGUGCUAGUCGCGACCCUUUUUUAUGGUCGCGACCACGGUCGCGACUUGGAGAUUUGGCAGAAUCUAUGUUUUUCGAGAUUUGCCUGUAGUCGCGACCAGCCUUUAAGUUGGUCACGACCAGGUACGGAAAAUGCAGUUUUUCACCUAAUUCAAAUUUUUUCCCAAUUGGAGGCACACCUUUCAUUCCUAUAUAAGGAACACGAUUCAGAAGGUCAAACCAAGCGAAAAUAGACCUGAAAAGUGGAUGAAAGUGGAGAGGAAGCUAUCUUGAAGACCCGGAGCGAUAUCACCUUCUAGUUUCUUUCUUUUACCCUUAUUCUUUCUUUGAUGUUUAGUUUUGUUUCAGAUUUAAUCAUGGAUGUUAUUAUUGUUUUUAUGAGCUAAAUUUCCCAUUAAGGGAGGAUGAUGAAUGUUGUUUAAGUUUAUGCCUAGUUAAUAAAUAAUUGCCAUUCCUCCA